GUUAGGAAUAUUGGACAAUGGGCGCAAGCCUGAUCCAGCCAUGCCGCGUGAACGAUGAAGGCCUUCGGGUUGUAAAGUUCUUUAGCCGAUGAUUAUAAUGACUGUAGUCGGAAAAUAAGCCCCGGCUAACUUCGUGCCAGCAGCCGCGGUAAUACGAAGGGGGCGAGCGUUAUUCGGAAUCACUGGGCGUAAAGCGUGCGUAGGCGGUCUCGUAAGUUAGGAGUGAAAGCCCAGGGCUCAACAUUGGAAUUGCUCUUAAUACUGCAAGGCUAGAAUCUCGGAGAGGAUAGCGGAAUUUCCAGUGUAGCAGUGAAAUGCGUAGAUAUUGGAAGGAACACCAGUGGCGUAAGCGGCUAUCUGGACGAGUAUUGACGCUGAGGCACGAAAGCGUGGGGAUCAAACAGGAUUAGAAACCCUGGUAGUCC
rnacentral:rRNA from 1 species